UUUGUAUGAGCAGCAGAGGACCGCAGGAAAUAGCUUAAUAUUGUUCAGUGUAAAAGAUAAGGAUCUAUUUGGUAUUUCAAGUCAGUACAUAGGAGAAUGCUAUAUAUCAUUCAGUGAUCUCAUGGAAUCUGAAGGAGAACAGAUAAUUAUGAAUUUGUCUCGACCAGAGUAUACAGAUUCAGAAGCGCUCCGUGCUCUGGAUUUUAUAAAAAAAUUGAAAAACAAAUCGUAUUCCUAAGAUGCAACAAAUUAUAUAUUAAAUUUGUUUUUACACAUCAAAAUAAAGUCUAGCAUUUUAAAA